rnacentral:lncRNA from 1 species
CCAUCCAGUCCUUCACAGAUUCUCUAGUCAUAAUAUGGCUUUGCUGCAAGCAUCCUGAUCUGCUCCACCCUCACAGACUCAGUGAGAACCUGAAACCUGGGAAAACACUGGCACGGAACCCUAAGUGUGUCCUUUGUGAACGCAGCCCAUUAGGAAUGGCUUCAGGGCUAUCUCGGUGAUCUAUGAUGGAUGUUUUGUGUCCUGUUUUGCUUUCCACUUGGCACGGACACAUCAGAGCUAUGUAUUUUGCUACCAAAUUACUGCUCCUUUCAGGGUUACCAUAUGCCUUGUAACGAGAACAUCAGCUGGCUCUUCCAUCUUAUUUGUUAGUAAACAAAAGAGGAAGGAUAAUCUAAGAAGGUAAACAUUUAAAUUUGGGGUUGUCCAGAAGUGGGAUAUAUGGGUCUAAUGAGCCUAUAUGCUUUUUUUCUUUCUUAACUAUAAGUGAAGUUUUGACAUUGCAAGUAUACUGUCUUUUCUAUGGUCAUUCUUUUUGUCACACAGAAUACAUUUACAUUUUAGGCUGUGUAAGAACUUACAGUUAAACUGAUAGCAGCUUGUUCUGUGCACAGCUAUGCACAUUUCCCUUGUCACCUUAAUUCACUGAGGGCACUUAAGAGUUAAAGGAUAUUUAACUUGCUUCUUAAUAGACAUUGUGAAAUAUAUGGGAAAAUUUCAUCAUAAUUGUCUAGUGACUUCAUUUGUGAAUGAAGAAGUCCUGGGAACCUAUAGCUGUUUUGAUUUUUGCAGCCUUAGUGCCUAGGGCUUAUGCUAGAGACUAGUGAUUUCUUCCCUCUACCCUGCUUAUUGUUGAAAAGCCAGAGCUAUUUUUAACAUUCACACAAUUUUGAAAGACGAUUCUUCAUUCCACAAGGUUUGUUGCUAAAUCUGUGGAGCCUUUCAUAAUUACAUCCUUUUUGUGGUUUGCUUGAAUUUGAUCACAGUGGCUGAUUUCAUGCAUUGAUAAUGAAGGCUUAGGUUGCCUGUUUCUCGGCACAAAUCCACCUCCGACGCGAACGUUGACAGUGCUGCUGGUUUCAGCACGCGUAGAGAUCCAGAUUGAAACUGCUGCUCUGCUUUCUUAACAAAUGACUCAGAGCGCGUUCGUCCUUCCCUAAGAUGCUGCCAGCGUGUAAAGGAUUUUCAAUGAGAGUGAAAUAAGCCAGCCACGGGAAGGUUCUGAGCGGCACUGAUGUAGUGUGGGGCUGUCACGGAUAAUCAGGCUGGAGCCAAGUCCCGGUAGCACCGUACAUCACGCUGGCCGCAUCCUGGAAGUUUUGUUUAUCCAACUUGGUUGCUCGUGAAGCUGCUGAAAUCCCUGCCAGGAUGUGGAGUGGACUUCCCAGCAGAGGUGAGCAUCUUUUAUUGUAAAACUUGGGUGCUGUGGUCUGGGAAUGCCAGGAACAGAUUCUUUUAACCGUUGUUUUGAAUCCUGUGGAGUCAUCACUGGCGAUUAUUAUAUCGGGCUGGCACUUGGGAAGGGGAAAAUUGAAGAGCAAAUCGAACAGCCUUUAAUUUUAUUGGGAAGUAACUCUCUUGAAUGGGUGUGAUAAGCAUCCUUUUUUCCCCUGUACUAGCUGUGUGCCGGGGACAUCUUACCAGCAGGUGACUUCCUCUGCAUUUUAAACAUUCAGAACAAGUCAGUGAUACGCGAUUUGCUAUCAUUACCGAAAGUAGGCAAUUAGCAGUGUUAUUAUGUGUUUCAGGUAU